rnacentral:rRNA from 1 species
UACAGAGGUCUCAAGCGUUGUUCGGAUUCAUUGGGCGUAAAGGGUGCGUAGGCUGUGAGGUAAGUCUGGUGUGAAAUCCCGGGGCUCAACCCCGGAACUGCACUGGAUACUGCUUACUAGAGCACUGGAGAGGGAACUGGAAUUUACGGUGUAGCAGUGAAAUGCGUAGAUAUCGGGAGGAACACCAGUGGCGAAGGCGGCCACCUGGACGGACACUGACGCUGAGACGCGAAAGCGUGGGGAGCAAACAGG